UACGAAGGGGGCUAGCGUUGCUCGGAAUGACUGGGCGUAAAGGGCGCGUAGGCGGGGAUCACAGUCAGGCGUGAAAUUCCUGGGCUUAACCUGGGGGCUGCGUUUGAUACGUGGUUGCUAGAGUGGGGAAGAGGGUCGUGGAAUUCCCAGUGUAGCGGUGAAAUGCGUAGAUAUUGGGAGGAACACCAGUGGCGAAGGCGGCUCGCUGGACCGGUUCUGACGCUGAUGCGCGAAAGCGUGGGGAGCAAACGGG
rnacentral:rRNA from 1 species